rnacentral:rRNA from 1 species
AGACCCGAAACCCGGUGAUCUAGCCAUGGGCAGGUUGAAGGUUGGGUAACACUAACUGGAGGACCGAACCGACUAAUGUUGAAAAAUUAGCGGAUGACUUGUGGCUGGGGGUGAAAGGCCAAUCAAACCGGGAGAUAGCUGGUUCUCCCCGAAAGCUAUUUAGGUAGCGCCUCGUGAAUUCAUCUCCGGGGGUAGAGCACUGUUUCGGCAAGGGGGUCAUCCCGACUUACCAACCCGAUGCAAACUGCGAAUACCGGAGAAUGUUAUCACGGGAGACACACGGCGGGUGCUAACGUCCGUCGUGAAGAGGGAAACAACCCAGACCGCCAGCUAAGGUCCCAAAGUCAUGGUUAAGUGGGAAACGAUGUGGGAAGGCCCAGACAGCCAGGAUGUUGGCUUAGAAGCAGCCAUCAUUUAAAGAAAGCGUAAUAGCUCACUGGUCGAGUCGGCCUGCGCGGAAGAUGUAACGGGGCUAAACCAUGCACCGAAGCUGCGGCAGCGACACUGUGUGUUGUUGGGUAGGGGAGCGUUCUGUAAGCCUGUGAAGGUGUGCUGUGAGGCAUGCUGGAGGUAUCAGAAGUGCGAAUGCUGACAUAAGUAACGAUAAAGCGGGUGAAAAGCCCGCUCGCCGGAAGACCAAGGGUUCCUGUCCAACGUUAAUCGGGGCAGGGUGAGUCGACCCCUAAGGCGAGGCCGAAAGGCGUAGUCGAUGGGAAACAGGUUAAUAUUCCUGUACUUGGUGUUACUGCGAAGGGGGGACGGAGAAGGCUAUGUUGGCCGGGCGACGGUUGUCCCGGUUUAAGCGUGUAGGCUGGUUUUCCAGGCAAAUCCGGAAAAUCAAGGCUGAGGCGUGAUGACGAGGCACUACGGUGCUGAAGCAACAAAUGCCCUGCUUCCAGGAAAAGCCUCUAAGCAUCAGGUAACAUCAAAUCGUACCCCAAACCGACACAGGUGGUCAGGUAGAGAAUACCAAGGCGCUUGAGAGAACUCGGGUGAAGGAACUAGGCAAAAUGGUGCCGUAACUUCGGGAGAAGGCACGCUGAUAUGUAGGUGAAGUCCCUCGCGGAUGGAGCUGAAAUCAGUCGAAGAUACCAGCUGGCUGCAACUGUUUAUUAAAAACACAGCACUGUGCAAACACGAAAGUGGACGUAUACGGUGUGACGCCUGCCCGGUGCCGGAAGGUUAAUUGAUGGGGUCAGCGCAAG